rnacentral:rRNA from 1 species
UACGGGGGGGGGCAAGCGUUGUUCGGAAUUACUGGGCGUAAAGGGCGCGUAGGCGGCCUACUAAGUCGGACGUGAAAUCCCUCGGCUCAACCGGGGAACUGCGUCCGAUACUGGUGGGCUCGAAUCCGGGAGAGGGAUGUGGAAUUCCAGGUGUAGCGGUGAAAUGCGUAGAUAUCUGGAGGAACACCGGUGGCGAAGGCGGCAUCCUGGACCGGUAUUGACGCUGAGGCGCGAAAGCCAGGGGAGCAAACGGG